AGAACGAACGCUGGCGGCAUGCCUAACACAUGCAAGUCGAACGUGAUCCAUGACUUCGGUUGUGGUGAAAGUGGCAAACGGGUGAGUAACGCGUGGGAAUCUGCCCAGAGGUAGGGAAUAAACCGCGGGAAACUGCGGCUAAUACCCUAUGUGCCCUACGGGGCAAAGAUUUAUCGCCUUUGGAGGAGCCCGCGUCGGAUUAGGUAGUUGGUAGGGUAACGGCCUACCAAGCCUACGAUCCGUAGCUGGUCUGAGAGGAUGAUCAGCCACACUGGGACUGAGAUACGGCCCAGACUCCUACGGGAGGCAGCAGUGGGGAAUAUUGGACAAUGGGGGCAACCCUGAUCCAGCAAUGCCGCGUGAGUGAUGAAGGCCUUCGGGUUGUAAAGCUCUUUCGGCGGGGAAGAUGAUGACGGUACCCGCAGAAGAAGCCCCGGCUAACUUCGUGCCAGCAGCCGC
rnacentral:rRNA from 1 species